rnacentral:lncRNA from 1 species
UUGCUCUUUGGGGAGAGUUCUAGAGAGAGAAAAAGAGAAAUGAGAGGGGAGAUGUGUGUUAGCUGUGGGAGAGGGAGAGAGGAGUGUUGGGGAUAUAUAUUGUUAGAUGUAUGCUCUAGAAGCCAACCAGGCCGACACAUGUAUUCUUUCUAGGACAUAAUUUUGUAUUUGAUUUUAAAAUAUUAUGAAUAACUUUGGGUUUUUAUU